rnacentral:rRNA from 1 species
GGACGAAGUCGNGCGGAUNNUCANUAGCAUGNNUUGAGNGCAGCGGCGGACGGGUGAGUAACACGUGGGCAACCUGCCUGUAAGACUGGGAUAACUUCGGGAAACCGGAGCUAAUACCGGAUAAUCCUUUCCCUCACAUGAGGGAAAGCUGAAAGACGGUUUCGGCUGUCACUUACAGAUGGGCCCGCGGCGCAUUAGCUAGUUGGUGAGGUAACGGCUCACCAAGGCAACGAUGCGUAGCCGACCUGAGAGGGUGAUCGGCCACACUGGGACUGAGACACGGCCCAGACUCCUACGGGAGGCAGCAGUAGGGAAUCUUCCGCAAUGGACGAAAGUCUGACGGAGCAACGCCGCGUGAACGAUGAAGGCUUUCGGGUCGUAAAGUUCUGUUGUCAGGA